CUGUUGGGUUUUGAGCAUUCUAACACUCCUAUGGUGUACAUGCAACCCUAUAAACCUUGGAUCUAUGUUUUCUCUAUUAUACAUGCAAAUAAGAACUUUCCAAGGCUUUAACCCUAACUAGCAUACUAUGAGGUAACUAUACUACAAAGACUAGUUAGAUGACAUACCUUUUGGUGUAGCUUGAUGUCUUCAAGCUUUAAGAGCUUAGCCCCAAUAGUGUGGAAGCCUCAAAUGGAAUCACAAAUCACCAAAACACCUUGGAAGACUUUAGAGAAUAUGGAUACUUGGUUCUCUCUAGUGAAAUUGGCUAGCCCUCUUAGUGUACCCACACUAGUGCCCAUUUGACCAACCAAGGACAUCUUUAUAUAGUGUGGAGGAUUAGGGUUAAACCCUAAUACCCAUGACCUUUCAUUUCCUAGGAUCCAUGGGUUAAAGCUCCAUGGACUAUCCAUGAAGACUUAGCCCAACCUAAAUGAACUUGGCCCACUACACAUAUAUAUCUAAGAGUCCAUAUUUAAUUAGUUCAUUUUGAUCACUUAAUUAAUUAUAAAUUAAUUCUUGAUCAAUACUAAUUAAAUAAUAUGAUUAUAUUAAUAUAUUAGAACUUAUAAUAUAUUAAUAUAAAUCAUAAAUAUACUAUUCUCAAAAUACUAUCCAUAUAAAUUGUGCCGGUGAAGUGCAACCCAAAUGGACCAUGCCGGGUCGGGUCAAGUACAUACCAAAUAUAGUUAUGGACUUAGACAUUAAUCCAACAGUCUCCCACUUGGAUAAGUCUAAAACUAUUAUUGCGUAUGACUUCAAACCUAACUGGCAAUCGUAGCUCUUAAAGCCGCUGUCGAACUCUGAUCUUGUCAACGAACUUGUCCAUUAGAUAAGGGAUCAUAUAUUCCUCCAUUCUAGAUAUCAUAUGGACUGAGACAUGGAUUAUAAUCAUUCUCUCUGUCCAUUUGUUGUUUCCCGAUUUCCGAUUUAUGACGACUGACUAAUUGAACAAAUCAAAUCAGUCCUGGCCCGGCCGAGCACUUCCAUUUGUCAUCAUCAAAUCAUCGAGGGGCCCACAGAUAUCGCUUUUAUCCCGAAGGUAAAAGGAAUGGAUAAACUUCGACUCAUAUGGCUUGUUCUACUACUUGUUGAAUCAUACACAAAGGCACGUUUUAUAGCACCGAGUUACCAAAUGCGUUUUCGUGCAAUCAAUGUACAACCAACUCAUAGUAACAACUCAUAUCUCUAGGUUUGAAGAAUAUAAGAUAUUAUCGUCUCAUGAUCACUCGUGAUAAAAUCCAUGAAGUGAUUCCAAUGAGCGCGGGUUGAAUCCAAUACUCAGAACUUAUGAGCACUCAUGAGUGUUGUAGCCCUUUGUCCAACACCUUAGACCUCUACAAGCCAACCCAUGACAGUCUUAAUUCAUAUCUACUUCCAACAUAUGACCGACUGUGGAUGGUUUGAAUAACUUAGUCAUUCCGGAAGAAUAACCUAGUUUAUUCGGGAAGUCAAAACAUGCAAAGUGAAACACAAUAAUAAUUGAAUCCAAUAUGGUAUCAAAACUUAUGAACAUAAAUAAAACACCUUUUAUUUAUCACCAUAUGAUUACACAUUAUUCAUUGUAUACUGUUUCAGCUAUCAACUUUAUUCUUGAAUUUAAAACAAUAGUUGUCCCAUGCUCCAAGCAUGUACACUAUGUUUUCUUAAACACUAGUCAUGCCACACACCAAGUAUGCAUACUAUGUUUGUCUAUGAUCUUUACUUUGUGAACUAGAUCAAUUGAACAUAACUUCAAUGAUUCUCUUUUCACACUCCCAAAUCCUUACUGCAAAUGCAAGAAUUCCAAAUUCAUGCCAUUUACUGAAAUCUGUUAGAUUCUAAACUUAUAUGCAUUGAUCCUCUUGUAAUGAUUAUGCACAAAGUCAGAAAGACUUGACAACAAUCAUUACAGAGUAUUCCAAAGGAGAUCAGCUCCUUGGAAACAUCCUUCUUGCAUUAAGUUUCCUAAUCUUAAACAGAUUGAAAAUUCUAACUUUGAAACAUUUCCAGAUUCCAUUUUGACUAUCACUUCUGAACAAGAGUUGCCUCCUUACAGAUUAUGUCAAUAUGGUCCUUCCAGAAUUAUCACUAUACUUCCAACUGUCCUUGAGCAACCAAUCUUUGGUAAACCUUAGAUUGUCCUCGACAAUUGUUUAAUCCUUUUAGUCAUAUCCAGUUCUAAACCUUUUCCCUUCUUAAUGCCCCAGGCAUUUGGAAAAUUUUAGAACGGAUGAAUAUAGCACAUGUAAUCGAUCCUAUAUCCGAAGCAUAUGGGACACGAUUCAUGAUGUCUCACAUAAAGACUAAACCAGUCUUUUGCUAUAAUAUUUCCAUUUCAAUUUGCCAAGUUCUCAUAAUUCAGAUUAUGAAAAGGGAUGCCGUAAUCAUAAUCGAAUUUUAGAACGCAAAUAAUGGACCCAUAUACAGAAUUUCCUUAUGUUGAGCCAUUCCAACAUGAAAUUCAUAUAUAUCCUUGACUAAAUGAUUAAAACCUCACGAUCUAAGCUUAUAGAUUUGAGAUGAAGCAUAAUUUCCUCUCCCUUAAUUAUAGCAAAACAACUUUUUCCCAAUUGAAACUUUUGUUUUCUAUAAUUAACAUUGCUAACUUGCAAUACUUAUCAUAAUUAUCAUGCUCCCACUAACAUGAUGAUUAUUAGCAUAACACUUAUGCUCCCACUAGCUUUGACAUGUACUCAGAAAUCAGCUGGACUUCUAGAAAUCAAUACUUCAUUGACUUUCUUACCAAAGUUCAGAUUUCUGAUACUAGAUUGUUUUGAUAAAACUUUAUCAAAAUCAUACACCUUCCCUUAGAUAGCACACUUGUGUAUCUAAACAAUUAUGAAGAGGGAUGCCGUAAUCAUAAUGUUUAGACCUUUUUGCCACUUCUCACAAGUCCAAAUUAGUGUGCCGGUUAACCACACGCGCUCCACUAACGACUUUGAGAAUGCAAAUAUCACAAUUGCUAUCUAGCUAAAAUCUACUUAGUGAAAGUGUUUCCUCACCAUCAUUUUCAUGAAUCGGAGAGAAACCUUAUGACACUUAGAUUUAAUGGUGUAUGUGUUCUUAUCCAUGUGAAUUGUCAAAACCAUAGUCACAAGACAAGGAUAAUGACAAAUCCAAACUCAUAUGGACUGAACUCAAUCUUAAUUUCUUGCCACCUGGCAGCUCAAGGGCCUGCCAUUGCUUCCAAGUUGUUGUGCAACAAAUUGAGAACUCUAAGAACUCAUAUGCAAAGCCAACUUUAACUGGAAUGGGCACAGAUAUGUCAACACGAUAGGUUAUAAACCUCAAGUCGUGUGCUAGUGAAGAACUUCAGGUUUUAUUCUUGAUUAGUUCUUGAGACUUUCAAGACCUUUAAGACUCCCACUGUCCUCUUGACAUAUAAGACUCCCUUGUCAAACAUCCAAGAGAUAGUGCGGAUUCUAAUCAAGAAAAACACUUUACCCAAUUGGCCUAAGUUGGUCUUUGUUUUAUCCAAAACAUCACAACUUACCAAUUUCAAAUGUACAAGAGUAGAAAACUUUUACUCUUACAUUUGACAAGUGUUUUAAACCUUCUUUAAGACAUGUCACUCAAAUGACAAUCUUGGAGUAUGACUCUAAGACUUGUAUUGGAACGAAGUAUGACUCAUCUUCUUGAUUUAACCAUUUCAACAAUUCAAGUUCCUCUUCUUAGUCAUAAGAAUGCACUAAGAUUUCCUUAGAGAACUAAUUUUGAUAUGGUUUCUUAAUCAUUAAGAUGAUCACAAAACUGAUACUAAAGUACUCUCCCAUCUUUUCAGAUUUGAGAAACUUUUAUCCUUGUACCUAAUUUGAUUCUUCUUAUUCGUUCUGUCAUACAUUGAAAACAAUUUCAAUGCUUCAGAAUUAUACUUAAGAUUGUAAGUAUAAUCAUAUUUACUAAACCUUAGUAAAUCAUGACGAAUAGUCUUAUCCAUCUUUUGUGGUGGACUUUGACAAGUGCACAAGAAAGUGUACUUGAUCCCUUAGUCCUUCUCUUGACUCACACAUCCAUGUGAACAAGUAGUUAGUCUUAAUUUUCCAAUGCUCGAAAGUUCUCAUUCAUCAUGCUAUACAACUUGCAUGAUUCCAAGUUCCGGUCCAAUUGAAACUUGGGUGAUGAGAAUCUUUCCUUAUUUGGUAAAUCUAGACAUUACCACAAAUGAAAGAAUCAAUUUCAUAUUUCCACUCUUGCUCUUAAUGGAAUCAUAUAAGCAACAAUUUUUCCUCAAAAGCCAUUGUAAGGAUAUUUUAAAAUAAAUAAAAUCAAAAAAAUUUUCUUUUAUUUUAAAACUUUGCGGAAAAACUUAUCCUUACAAUCCAUAUGAAAACUUGUUGUUAUCUAUUCCUAAGCAAUAUCUCAUAACUCCUAAGAAGUAGCUCAAGAAUCCGAUCUUCAAACUAUGCGAUAGAAAUCCAUCUACGCCAUCAGAUUCAGCAUAUUCUUUCUUUAAGUUUCUUCACUUUUCUUUGAUUCUUAAAACAUCACCAUGUGACCCAGUCACAUCAUGUAUCAAGAAUCUCAGAAUAGAAACUUAACAGAGUUAGAUAGUGGACUUUACCUGAAGUAGAGUCAAACUUAUUGACUUUAACAUCCUUAGGUAAAUUUGGCAGCUUCGCAACCAAUGCCCCUUCCUUUGGCAAUAUAAACAUAUGGACCCUUUGAUAAUGGUACACGGGACUAUCACAGACUUAGCUUUUCUCUUUACCAUUUGGUCAACCGAGUUGACUAUGGCCGAUCCCUUUCCAUUGGGAAGAGAAUGCUUUUCUGGAUUUCCUGUGUCACUAUUGUCAAUGUCCAUCAAGUUUUAAGGAAGUUGAUCUUAACAAAUAGAUAAGAUCAUUAAGGGUCUUGUCAUAGUCUGUUUCAUAGGUGUCCCAAAGGAACUCACUAUGUGACUUAGAAAGUGAUUGAACCACCAACUUUCUCAAGACUUUGACACCCAACUCUCCCGGCUUGUCAAUAUGUGACUACAUCUCCAAGAUGUGACCACACCUAGACCUUGCCUUGCCAAUAGGGCCUGAGUGACCUUAAACUUUUCAAGAACUUGUGGGUUAGGGAGAAUAAUUUGAAGAGGUGAAGAAGUAUGAUAUCCAUGGGACAUCAUCUUCAUUAGGAAACCUUGUUUCAAGAGAUUUGGGAAGAUCAUAGGUGUCUAAACCAGACAUCUUUUGGGAGAUAUUCAAGAUAGUUGAUUUAAAGUCCUUAAUAUGACACCCAAUAUGAAAUAUUAAGGCUAGGACCCAACAAACUAUUUUAUAACUUAGAAGAGGUAUGCCGUAAUCCAAGCUAUAAAAUAUUUGAAGGUAGGUGAAUGACGAUUCACCAAUUUCCACCAAGAUAAACGAAAUGUAUUAUUAGGUUUUAAUUGGUUUUGAAACUCCUAGAUCUUUGAGAUUCAUUGAACUGUUCAAUGGCAUGUUUCAAUCUCGAGUGUGCCCUUCAGGUUUUGUGACUGGGAUGCCGAGGAUCACAAAACAAGGUGUGAAGUAACCAUGCAAAUUACUUGGUACCCUUAAGUGUUUACCCCUCAAUCGAUGUGCCGGUUAACCACACACGCUCCAUCGAUACUAUGAUAAACAUUAAGUUACCCUUUGCCUACCUUGUUAAAUACGAGUUAGUGUGCCGGUUAACCACACACGCUCCACUAACCGACUUAAACAAAGUGCAAAGUGUAAUUUCAUGGAUUAGCACCUUAUUCACAUUUUCCUAAGUAACUAAGAUUGGGUAUUAUUAAGAGUUUAGUUACUUAGUAUUUAUCAUUAAUACUUUUAAUGAAGGGAGAAUUAUAGUCCUGUCAAACCCGUUCGGCUAACGACCCUCCACCAGUCAAGGAAGCGGUGGGUGAGAGUGGACACCCAUUAAACUGCCAUUUUAUAGGCAGUAACCUUAUAACCCCCUUAUAGACCGGCUUCGUGAAUGAGGCCUACUAACGGUAAGACUGACUUUACUCUUAUACAUAUAUAUAAAUAUUAUUAACUUAUAAUAUUAUAAAGUAUAAGGGUUGAAUUUUAACUCUUUAAAAUUCUAAGGGCUUAACUUGGAAUUAAAGUAUUCAUAAAAGAAAACUUUUCAAAUUCCAAAACUUGAGGGCAAGUUUUGAAACUAUUCAAAACUCUUGGAUUUUCAUAACUUAUGAGUUUUAAUUAAAGUAUUAAAACUUUUAAUGAAGAGACUCUUGGACAUCCAUAACUUGAGGACAAGUUAUGGAGCCAUAAAAACUAUUUAUAAGAAAAGACUCUUCAUUUUUUUUAUAACCUAAGGCAUUUUUAUGAGUUUUUAAGAUUCAUAAAUGUGACUUUUCAUAUAACUUGAGGACAAGUUACAAAAACACAUUUUAUGAACAACUUUUAGAUUAAUUUGGAUUGAAAACAUCUAACACAUAUUUUUCAUUAAUCUAAAAAAUAACUCAUAAAACAAGGAAACAUAAAACUUUUGGUAAUCCAUAACUUAUGGAGUUAAAUGUUUGUUUUAUGAUGAAACUUUUCAUGUUCCAUAACUUAAGAAUAAGUUAUGGAAUUCUUUAAAACAUUAACACCAAAUUUUGUAACUCCAUAAAAACUUUGAAUCAAUUUUUUUUAAACCUUUUCAUAUCCAUAACUUAUGGAGGUUUCAAAAAACUCUUUAGAUCAAACUUUUAAAACUAAUAAAAUAAUCAUAUCAUUUUAUCCUUUACUAAAUUUGACCUAAUUCAACUCAUAUAGCAAAUGAUUCAAAUUUUACAAAUAAUUAGUUUUUCACAAAAAAAAGUAAUUAUCUUAAAAUUUGACAAACGUCAUGUUUUUUUUUCCUUUUUUUUCAACUUUGAAAAUAAAACAUUUGCAUCAAUAUAACAGAAAACAACCCAUGGCUCUGAUACCACUGUUGGGUUUUGAGCAUUCUAACACUCCUAUGGUGUACAUGCAACCCUAUAAACCUUGGAUCUAUGUUUUCUCUAUUAUACAUGCAAAUAAGAACUUUCCAAGGCUUUAAUCCUAACUAGCAUACUAUGAGGUAACUAUACUACAAAGACUAGUUAGAUGACAUACCUUUUGGUGUAGCUUGAUGUCUUCAAGCUUUAAGAGCUUAGCCCCAAUAGUGUGGAAGCCUCAAAUGGAAUCACAAAUCACCAAAACACCUUGGAAGACUUUAGAGAAUAUGGAUACUUGGUUCUCUCUAGUGAAAUUGGCUAGCCCUCUUAGUGUACCCACACUAGUGCCCAUUUCACCAACCAAGGACAUCUUUAUAUAGUGUGGAGGAUUAGGGUUAAACCCUAAUACCCAUGACCUUUCAUUUCCUAGGAUCCAUGGGUUAAAGCUCCAUGGACUAUCCAUGAAGACUUAGCCCAACCUAAAUGAACUUGGCCCACUACACA
rnacentral:lncRNA from 1 species